ACAACAAGUUGAGGUGUCUAACACUAGAAGACCGGGUAGGCGAGAGCCUAGGAGAGGAAGGCGUAAGGAAUAUGAUAGCGAUAUGGAUGAUUAUGAGAAGAAUGAAGUUGAGAUGGGAUGGAUGAGGAAUAGGGAUGAUAGGAUGGAAAGACGAGGUUGGAAUAAUUUUGGAGAUAAGGUAGAUGGAAAUUUGGGAAAUAUUAAGAUGGUGAUACUGC
rnacentral:lncRNA from 1 species